AGGGUUUGAUCAUGGCUCAGAUUGAACGCUGGCGGCAGGCCUAACACAUGCAAGUCGAACGGUAACAUUUCUAGCUUGCUAGAAGAUGACGAGUGGCGGACGGGUGAGUAAUGCUUGGGAACUUGCCUUUAGGAGGGGGAUAACAGUUGGAAACGACUGCUAAUACCGCAUAAUGUCUACGGACCAAAGGGGGCUUCGGCUCUCACCUAAAGAGAGGCCCAAGUGAGAUUAGCUAGUUGGUAAGGUAAAAGCUUACCAAGGCGACGAUCUCUAGCUGUUCUGAGAGGAAGAUCAGCCACACUGGGACUGAGACACGGCCCAGACUCCUACGGGAGGCAGCAGUGGGGAAUAUUGCACAAUGGGGGAAACCCUGAUGCAGCCAUGCCGCGUGUGUGAAGAAGGCCUUCGGGUUGUAAAGCACUUUCAGUUGUGAGGAAAGGUUGGUAGUUAAUACCUGCCAGCUGUGACGUUAACAACAGAAGAAGCACCGGCUAACUCCGUGCCAGCAGCCGCGGUAAUACGGAGGGUGCGAGCGUUAAUCGGAAUUACUGGGCGUAAAGCGCACGCAGGCGGUUUGUUAAGCUAGAUGUGAAAGCCCCGGGCUCAACCUGGGAUGGUCAUUUA
rnacentral:rRNA from 1 species